GUAUGUUUAGUGAUUAUUGACCAUGCACCAGAAGCAGCAUCACAUCCAUUAUAGAAAAAAAAACUUUGAGUUAAAUCCUUCCUCGUGACUGAUGCAUAUGAGCAAAUACUAUUGUUGCUCAUAUGCAGGAGUCACCAAGGGCAGGUGCUUAAAGGCAACUCAAGCCUCUUCACAGAAAUCUGAAAAAUUUAAACAUUUUACAACACAAG
rnacentral:lncRNA from 1 species